GAUCAUGGCUCAGAUUGAGCGCUGGCGGCAGGCUUAACACAUGCAAGUCGAACGGUAACAUAAAGAAGCUUGCUUCUUUGAUGACGAGUGGCGGACGGGUGAGUAAUGCUUGGGAAUCUAGCUUAUGGAGGGGGAUAACUACGGGAAACUGUAGCUAAUACCGCGUAAUAUCGAAAGAUUAAAGUGUGGGACCUUCGGGCCACAUGCCAUAGGAUGAGCCCAAGUGGGAUUAGGGUAGUUGG
rnacentral:rRNA from 1 species